rnacentral:sRNA from 1 species
CCUCAGGAGGUGACUAGCGCUUCCGCGCGC